GCAUGAAGAAGAUUCAGGUGAUGUUUCAAUUGAUCUUUUAUCUUUAAUUUAUCGAUUUUCUAAUUUUACAAAAAUGUUCUCACCGAGUAGAAUAUACUUUUGAGUUUUGAGUUAAAUCUUUCACAGUCUGUUGUGGAUUAGCAACGUUUCAAGCCAUAUUAACUAUUGUGUUGUGGCAGUUCGAAAGAUUCAUAUAAAUUGGACUAUUGCUACAAAAAAAAACAGAAUCACAGGUUUAAUUCUAUCAAAGGAGAUAAAGCCUCUUAUCUCUACUGUCUUUGAGGGUAAAGAUGCUAAUGUCAUCGCCCAGAGAGCAAGAAAUUGCGGAAAAACAUAUCUCAUACAUGUAUUGAAAGCAAUCCCAUUAAGGUAUUGAUUAUCAGACAUGAUACUAUAGAUGAAAAAUGCUAAUUAUUGUAUCGCAUGGUUUGUAGGGAAAUGAUUAUGCUCUGACGCUCAAAGGAAACAGACACCUUUGACUGUGUCUGCUACUUCUAGAAAACAGACAGUGCUAAGGGGAAAUGUGACAGAGAGAAAAGACUAAAAUCAAAGCAAGGAAACUGUUCCGCGAAGCAAACGAUUCAGUGAAAUGUAAAAAUAGCAUGUUGGAAAAUUUAAUUAAUACGUCAUGAAGUGGAAUAAUCUAGAUUCUUCCUUUACAAAGAGGUAAAACAGAGGGUAUAGAAACAGAGACUAAGAGACCAAGAGUCUUAAUUAAGGAGGUUUGGUAUACCACUUAACCCUAAUCAAUCCACUACUUACUUGAUAAAGACAUAUUCUCAUCAUGUAUAUUUGAUUAGAUUAGCUAGGCUCGUAAUAUGGGACAAAACCCCGAAGAUGAGCAAGAAAUGCUUUGAAAGAUUUUAUCGUAGCGUGAGUGUCAUAUCUGCACCCUUCAGUGCUCCCUUGUAAAAUCAGAGUAUCUGAGUAUAGAUACUUAAUAGGUUUAAGUGUUCUUCGAUCUUGGACGAUAUGUUCCAACUUAUACUGAUACAGAGGUUAUACAGAUUUUUGGUUUUUCUAAUAAAAUAAAUUGUUUGCUGAAA